AACGAACGCUGGCGGCAUGCCUAACACAUGCAAGUCGAACGAGACCUUCGGGUCUAGUGGCGCACGGGUGCGUAACACGUGGGAAUCUGCCCUUUGCUUCGGAAUAACAGUUAGAAAUGACUGCUAAUACCGGAUGAUGUCGAAAGACCAAAGAUUUAUCGGCAAAGGAUGAGCCCGCGUAGGAUUAGGUAGUUGGUGGGGUAAAGGCCUACCAAGCCGACGAUCCUUAGCUGGUCUGAGAGGAUGAUCAGCCACACUGGGACUGAGACACGGCCCAGACUCAUACGGGAGGCAGCAGUGGGGAAUAUUGGACAAUGGGCGAAAGCCUGAUCCAGCAAUGCCGCGUGAGUGAUGAAGGCCUUAGGGUUGUAAAGCUCUUUUACCAGGGAUGAUAAUGACAGUACCUGGAGAAUAAGCUCCGGCUAACUCCGUG
rnacentral:rRNA from 1 species